CGGAAGGUCCUGGCGUUAUCCGGAUUUAUUGGGUUUAAAGGGAGCGCAGGCUGCACUUUAAGCGUGUUGUGAAAUGUACCGGCUCAACCGGUAACGUGCAGCGCGAACUGGGGUGCUUGAGUACGAAGAGGGAAGGCGGAACUCGUGGUGUAGCGGUGAAAUGCUUAGAUAUCACGAGGAACUCCGAUCGCGAAGGCAGCUUUCCGUUUCGGAACUGACGCUGAGGCUCGAAAGUGCGGGUAUCGAACAGGAUU
rnacentral:rRNA from 1 species